GAAAUCCCAGAUGGAAAAGACCCAUCAUUCAACAGCAGGGGUACAGUCUUAUACAACUCACAGCGCUCACCAUAGCACAUACCGUCCCCAACGUCCAAUCAGCCUCCGUGAUAUUUUGACGCCCAUACCAAACUAAGGGAAGAUGUUCCUGCCAUGCUAUCCUCCCGCAGCCAAUUUCAGAGAUCACUUAGAGGCAACUUAUGCUGAACUUCCAUUUUCAUCUAUGAAGGUUCUCUGUCUGGCAUCAAGGUACACUUCAGCCGCUGAGUGCCUGGUCGUACACCAAGGAGGAUCCGCCUUCCUGAGGCGCCAUCCUGCCCACCAGUACCCCUCAGGGUUGGGCAUGAGGACCACAAGCCCACAUCACCUGUAAGCUCGGAGACCAAGCGCACCCACUCCCACCCCCCCAGGCCCGCAGAACCAGAUUCCCUGGGUGGGACCAGGCUAGCAUGUUGACGAUUGCCCAGGACAUUCUGAUGCAGGUCGGGAGCUGCUGCUUCCCUGGCGGCUCAUGCUGGGCGCCUGCACCUUGUCUGCAACAGUGAGGCAGGUCCCUCCCAUCCAGCGAGUUCUGUGUAACCUCCCCAGAGGAGGCAGU